CAAGUCGAGCGGGUGUAGCAAUACAUCAGCGGCAGACGGGUGAGUAACGCGUGGGAACGUACCUUUUGGUUCGGAACAACCCAGGGAAACUUGGGCUAAUACCGGAUAAGCCCUUACGGGGAAAGAUUUAUCGCCGAAAGAUCGGCCCGCGUCUGAUUAGCUAGUUGGUGAGGUAACGGCUCACCAAGGCGACGAUCAGUAGCUGGUCUGAGAGGAUGAUCAGCCACAUUGGGACUGAGACACGGCCCAAACUCCUACGGGAGGCAGCAGUGGGGAAUAUUGGACAAUGGGCGCAAGCCUGAUCCAGCCAUGCCGCGUGAGUGAUGAAGGCCCUAGGGUUGUAAAGCUCUUUUGUGCGGGAAGAUAAUGACGGUACCGCAAGAAUAAGCCCCGGCUAACUUCGUGCCAGCAGCCGCGGUAAUACGAAGGGGGCUAGCGUUGCUCGGAAUCACUGGGCGUAAAGGGUGCGUAGGCGGGUCUUUAAGUCAGGGGUGAAAUCCUGGAGCUCAACUCCAGAACUGCCUUUGAUACUGAAGAUCUUGAGUUCGGGAGAGGUGAGUGGAACUGCGAGUGUAGAGGUGAAAUUCGUAGAUAUUCGCAAGAACACCAGUGGCGAAAGCGGCUCACUGG
rnacentral:rRNA from 1 species